rnacentral:pre_miRNA from 1 species
UAUAAGCUUAUACAAUACAUUAUGAGUUUAUCCAUUGUUUGGUAAUGACAUUGUAUUGUAUAAGCUUAUCCA